UUGUUUUUAAACAUUAGUCGUUAUUAGACAAGCAAGAUGGAUAAGGUUCUGCUAUGUGUUCUGGUUCUUUCCUGUUUGUUUAUGUGCGAAAUAGCUUUGGCCAAGGACACUAUCAUUAAUGUAAAACCAAUAAACGAUGCGGAGAAUAGCGAUAGCCAAAGAACUUCAGACCGUCAAAAAAGCAGUUUGAGUUCUCUUUUAUGCCUGGGCGGGAUGUUAUGUUAAAAUGGAUGCCAAAACUUUCCAACUUAAAAUAUAAUAAAAGUGUUAUUUACUUGA